UACGAAGGGGGCUAGCGUUGUUCGGAUUUACUGGGCGUAAAGCGCACGUAGGCGGAUCGUUAAGUCGGGGGUGAAGUCCUGGAGCUCAACUCCAGAACUGCCUUUGAUACUGAAGAUCUUGAGUUCGGGAGAGGUGAGUGGAACUGCGAGUGUAGAGGUGAAAUUCGUAGAUAUUCGCAAGAACACCAGUGGCGAAGGCGGCUCACUGGCCCGAUACUGACGCUGAGGCACGAAAGCGUGGGGAGCAAACAGG
rnacentral:rRNA from 1 species